CAUGAUUUUAUUGGGCAUGCUGGUACAGAGAUGAAAAUGUAAAAGAAAAAAGAGGCAAAAGAGGUAUUUAAACUUCCCUGAUUUGAGGUAUAUUAUUUCCUUUCCCAAAGAAAAGGCUGAGAGGUGGGAGCAGACGGGAGUAUAUGCAGGAUCUUUGCAGAAAUGUGCCCCUUGCACAGAUGAUCAGAGCUCAGUGCUCAUAAAAAUGAUGGAAUCUUUGAGCCAAAAUCUCCCUGCCAUAAAUUAAACUCAUGAAUUAAACCUAAACCUUUACCCUUUAUCUGAGUUUUGGAGCCCAGAUAAAUCUUCCUUCUUCCUUAUAGCAUCUUUCAGUUAAAUAUUGUAAUGUGCCUUCCCCUAAAAAGCAGGGCAAGAUUGACUAAAUCCAAGAACAGGAGGAACAUAAUGCUCUUGCUUUGCAUUAAGAAAAAAGAAAUGAACACAACAGGGAAACAUCCUCUUUCUGAGUAGCCUCCUUGUUCAGAAAAGGUGCAUAUUGAAAUGACUGCGCAGAACACAUGCCUCCCAGUUUUAGAUCUUCCUCAAGUCCUCAUACCCCUGUGAAUCACUGCACACCUCUACACCAAGUGAUGAAUGCCAGCUUGGUGUGAGUGACCACUGCCUAUCGAGGGGAUCAUCCCACAAUGGCAAGGGAAGAUGUAACGGCAGCAAAGUUCAGGAAAUGCCUUGGCUGACCUGCACAGAAGUUUCAGAACCCUCACUGCUAUUUUGUAUGAUUGGACAAUGGCUGAAAAUCCACAAGGCACUCAUCCAGGGAGUAAUUUUGUCUGGAAGACACGGCAAACUCUUUCUUUCUCUGUCAUGCAAAUGCCUCUGUGUUACUCAGGCAUUAUCUGCUAAAUUCAGAACCUGUCCUGUCCCAAAGCCACGGCCAAACUCUACUCUCAUAGGCAGCACAAGGAAAUGGAUGAGGAUCUCCUCCAGGUCCCCCACUAUUACAGUUCACAUUGUGACAUGCUACUGAAUGGUUUCCAGCUCCCUCCCAAAGAGAACUGCCGGAAUUUGGCCAUUUCAUUACAUGCUCGGCAGGACUGUACGAGAGAGUGGAAAUAACUGCAUGCUCACUAGCAGAGGAAGAGGGAAACCCUCCAGGCCUGUUUAUAUCAGAAGGAAAUGGCACCACAGGACCCAAGACUGAAGCACAAACAUCUAUGAAAUGAAAGCAGCUCUUAGAGAUGCAAUAUGCAGAAAAGGUAACUAUCAGGGAAAAUGGAUUUGUGCCAUAUAAGUGGCAGGUCUGAGCAGCAAAGAAGCCAAAACUGAGAUGCAGCCAGCCUACAGUUAAAGCUCCAAGGAUUUCAGCUUAACAUCCCAGUGAUGCUCCACAAUCCUUCCCUACACUACUGGCACCAAGAUGCACAGCCAGCUGAAGAAAGCCAUUUCAGAGUUGUCCUUUAUCACAGAAAAGAUGCUGUGAGUAAAUUAUGCACUCAUGAGCAACCCCAGCCAGCAAGACACCACAGUAUGACCAAGUCACCCUUUCCAUAAACUGUUAAAUGGAGAGACAGAGCCUUGACCUGGCUCGUCAUGUGAUCCUACAAGCAGUGAACAGCCAACACAGUGGCUCUCCCAAGUAAUGAACGGCCAAGGCGAUGGCUCUCCCUGCUCUCACAAAUGGCACAUGAUGGAAUAAAGAAGGCUUAUCUGCUUUUCUGCCAUUCUGCAUCAUCUUUUAGGAAUCCCUCCUUCCACCCGCAGGCUUGUGAUGUGCUCUUGGCUCUUAUGCCAGCCCUCCACAUACACCGUUGAUCAUGGGCCAGGCUUCACAGGAUGCUUCCUGCUUGUUUGCUUGCUAAUGAAUAUUAUUUUUAAACAGUAAGAGGUGUGGGGGAGGAAAGAUGAGGGAACCUGAAGUGAAGGCUGCCUCUGUGCUCAGUCUCUAUGGAAAUAAUCCACAAUGCUAAUACGUCCUAAAAUGGUA